UACGGGGGGGGCAAGCGUUGUUCGGAAUUACUGGGCGUAAAGGGCUCGUAGGCGGCCAACUAAGUCAGACGUGAAAUCCCUCGGCUUAACCGGGGAACUGCGUCUGAUACUGGAUGGCUUGAGUUUGGGAGAGGGAUGCGGAAUUCCAGGUGUAGCGGUGAAAUGCGUAGAUAUCGUAAGGAAGACCAGUGGCGAAGGCGGGUCUCUGGACAGUUCCUGACGCUGAGGCACGAAAGCCAGGGGAGCAAACGGG
rnacentral:rRNA from 1 species